CGGACCCAUGUCCCAGCCGGCAAAGAUGGCCUCUGCUUGCACGCUAUCGCUUAAGGAGGAGCUUGCGUCCCAUUAGGUAGUUGGUGAGGUAACGGCUCACCAAGCCUGCGAUGGGUAGCCGGCCUGAGAGGGUAACCGGCCACACUGGCACUGAGACACGGGCCAGACUCCUACGGGAGGCAGCAGUGAGGAAUUUUGGGCAAUGGGCGAAAGCCUGACCCAGCGACGCCGCGUGGGUGAUGAAGGCCUUCGGGUCGUAAAACCCUGUGAGAUGGGAAGAAGCCGUUGUGUGCUAAUACCACAUCGCGGUGACAGUACCAUCAGAGGAAGCCCCGGCUAACUACGUGCCAAGCAGCCGCGGUAAAACGU
rnacentral:rRNA from 1 species